GAAAAGAACUUUGGAGAGAGAGUUAAAAAGUACGUGAAACCGUAUAGGGGUUAAGCCCGUUGAAUCUAAAUAUCCGAUAGAUGAAAUUCAAUACAAUACCUCACGGUGUCGUAUGCACUUUUCAUCUAGUAGGACACUGCAAUCCGUUAGAUUAAAUAUAGUUGCUUGCAUACUAUAUUUGAACUUAUCAAUGGAAUUCUCUUAGGUUGUUUAUCUGUUAAUAGUACUCAACAUACUAUUCGAUAAAUCUAUUUAGGAAUUUCGAUAAUGUACGACUGACGGAUUAACAAAAAUCAUACAACAUGCAUAUGUAAUUUACUUCGGUGAAUUUGUAUGUAUUUGAUUUGCAGUGCACUAUAGAUUUAGAUACCUUCGGGGCCCGUCUUGAAACACGGA
rnacentral:rRNA from 1 species